UAAAGCCAAAGCCACAAUUCUGUACUCACAGAUCAUACAGAAAUCCAUAGACAUGCAUGUAGUUCACGGAGGAGUUUGAGAGAGGGAAACCGGAGAGUGCAAUUAAUGGCGGAGUUAGCGACCAGUGUUGCAGCAGGGGUGAUAUGCUCCCUCCUUGAGAAGCUUGGUUCUCUUGCAGCGGCAGAGUAUGCAAUGUUCAGCAGUGACCGCAGACAGGUGGAAUUACUGGUGGAUGAGCUCAGCUCUAUGAAGGCUGUUCUUGAGAAGUUGGCAUACAUGGAGAACCUUGAUCCAUUAACCAGGCAAUGGAGGGACCAGGUCAGGGAGUUGACCUACGAUACCGAGGAUUCUAUCGUCAGCUCCAUGCUCCAGGAUCGCCAAGAUGGAGCUAAGGAUUGGUUCAUUUGGAAGAUUUUUCCGUUUUUCAAAGAUCUCAGAGAGGGAUAUAGUUUGUCCAAACAGAUCAAUCAAAUCAAGGCCGCUGUAAUAGAGCUCAGCGCUCGACGAGAGCGGCUCAGAGUUGACGAAGUCAUCUCUACAUCUUCUCAUGUGUCCAUUGAUCCCCGACUGCACGUGCUCUAUAAGGAUGCUGCCGGUCUUGUCGGAAUAGAUGGACAAAAGGAUAAGCUCAUUGGAAUGCUAAAGGAUGGUGACCAGCACCUAAAGGUAGUGUCAGUUGUGGGAUUUGGAGGAUUAGGCAAGACUACACUUGCCAAUUUAGUAUACGAUGCUUCACCUACACUUCAACACCAUGAACACCGAUUUGACUGUCGAGCAUUUGUGUCGGUCUCCCAAAGACCUGAUAUCAAUGGGGUUCUUUGUAUCCUGCUCAGAAUGUUUGGAGGGAGUAUAACACCAUCGGAUAAUAUUAAUGUUCAACUCCUUGUCAGCAUGCUCAACAAGCAUCUGCAACAUAAAAGGUACUUUAUCGUAAUUGAUGAUUUGUGGAAUGAAUCGGACUGGCAUACUAUCAGAUGUGCUUUCCCAGACAAUAAUUCCGGAAGUAGAUUAAUCGUAACUACACGAAUUGAUAGUGUGGCUUUGGAUUGCUGCUCUAAUCGGCGUGAAUACGUUUAUCCAAUGAAACCUCUCGAAGAAGAGUACUCAAGAAGACUUUUUCUUACAAGAAUAUUUGGCUCUGAAGAUGCUUGUCCUGAAUACUUAAAAGAAGCUUCGGCUGAGAUAUUAAGAAAAUGUGGUGGUCUACCCCUAGCAAUCAAUGUUGUAUCAGGUUUUUUGGCCAGUAAGAAGACACCGGAACGAAAGGAGCACUGGGACAGGGUGCAGAGUUCAUUGGGCACCAUCGACAGAGAGUUCGAACCAAUGAAACAGAUGUCACAAAUCUUAAACCUGAGCUACAUGCAUCUUCCUCAUCAUUUGAGGGCAUGCUUCCUUCAUCUUGGUAUAUAUCCAGAGGAUCGGGAAAUCAUGACGGAUGAUUUGGUGAAGCAAUGGGUUGCUGAAGAUUUUGUGCCUUGUAGCCCACAUAGGCGAGAUCGAGAGGAUGUUGCAAAGGACUAUUUCAAUGAGUUAGUCAAUAGGAGCAUCCUCCAACCUGUAGAUAUAGACUACAAGGAUGAGGUGCUGUCAUGUCGACUGCAUGACAUGAUGCUCGAGUUCAUCUUGAACAAAUCCGCAGAUGAGAAUUUCAUUACUGUAAUGGAUAGAUUUGGGGUCCGAAGUGGAGGCACCAGUAAGAUCCGUCGGCUCUCUUUGCAGUCUGACCAAGAGAAUCGUGUCCCGGUACCAGAAGCAAUUAUUCUGACACAAGUUCGAUCGCUUGCAACAUUUGGUGCUUGUAUUGACGGAGUGUUUUCGAGGCUGAAGUUUAUUCGAGUCCUAGUGGUUGACAGAUGUCGUAUGACUCUGGACGACAUGGUUGGAGUUUGCCUGCUGCUCCAACUGAGAUACCUGAAGAUUGCCUUUGAUAUGUUGGAUGAUGAGUUUGAUCUAGUAGUACCUCCUGAAAUUCUGAAUCUACGGUCUCUGGAAACGCUGGAUAUAACAGAUGUCCAGGAUGCUACCCUUACAGAAAAAAUAGCUGACUUGUCCAGCUUGCGGCAUCUGCUUCUCCCAUUAGAGGUAGUCUUGCCUGAUGACAUAGGCCGUAUGAAGUCCCUGCGUACCAUACGCAAGUUUGAUAUGUCUAAGAACUCAGUAGCCUGUAUAAACGGCCUCGGGGAGCUGACCAAUCUCAGAGAUCUUCAAGUCCGUUUUGAUGACACUUGGAACUCUGACCAGAAAAAGGUAGCUCUAUGCUCUGCUCUCCAAAAGCUUGCUGGUGAAAACCUUAAACAUCUAGCUAUCAUUUCGGAAGAUGUGUGCGGUGAUCAAUGCCUACCAAUGUGUCAUCAGCUGAAUUAUCUGCAUUCCUUAACAGGAAAUCUAGAGACACUCCGUCUAGAAGAUCGCAUGCCCACUAUUCCAAACUGGAUUGGUCAACUUGGUAAUCUGUAUGACAUAAAUCUUGCUGGAAUCGAGAGGUUGAAUCCGCAAGCUAUUGAUAUCCUUGCAAAGUUGCCUGCCCUUCUCUACCUCAAGAUGUAUAUUUUGAUAUUCAUCGCUGAAACAAUUGUCAUCCGUGGUGGGAGUGGGAGCGGGACUGCUUUCCCAGCACUCAAGUAUUUCGACCUCAUUUGUUCGCCACCAUGGGUGUCUUUUGAGCAAGGGGCAAUGCCCAAGCUCCAGAGACUCGAAAUAGAAUUUGAUGCGGACAGAUGGGAGGAACAUGGAAGAGCGCCUGCAGGCAUCCACAACCUGGGUGUGCUGCAGGUACUGUCGGUACAGCUGAUGUUCAGUGGUGCGGAGUCUGACAAGGAAGCUGCUAAAUCUGCGCUGCGUGCUGCAAUCCACGGACAUCCACGUGACCCUCGUGUUGACAUCAGCCAAAGAAAUUUUUCAGGACCUUUCUCUAUUCAUACGGAGGAGCAAUAUAAUAUGGAAUUCAUUUGACCUCUCAUCGAUGAUACGGACAUCUCUGACUGAGCACAAAUAGCGGUUGGCUGCUCCAUGCUGCAGCUGCUGUCUGGAAGAGUGCUGCUGCUGUUUCUUAUGACAUGCAUGCUGGGAGCUCCUCGUGUCCGAUGUUUUCGAAAUUGGGUGUGCCACAGUAUCUAGAGGAUCUUAUUACUUGUUAUUAUUGGUCGUGUCUUCUUUCUUCCCUUCUCUCCUCGUUCUUACUUCUGUUGAGUAUUUACAAGUGUGAUGACUACUCUCCAGCCCGAGGCCGACCUUUUGACAAAAGACUCUAUUUUCUAACAUUUGUAGAGGACAAAUGUGGAUGUCGCCAGCAAGUCACAUGGUCCAAUUAAUGGCCGGCUUUCACAGCAGGUAUCAGACUCUUGAUCAAGUCUGGCCAACGGGUGGUGCUCUUUUCCACCAAUACGGCACAGGAGCAAUGUGGCCGCAUCGCUGUGUGACCUCUCCGCCGAGGAUGAUAUUGUGCGGAAACACAUGAAUACUGGGCACUACAUGGCGGCCUCCGCUUAUGCGGCUCAAUUCUUAGGGAACUUUCUACUCUCCCAAUACCAUAUGGUGUGGAAGUCUAGGUCCCCCCAAGGUCAAAUUUUUCACUUGAUUGGCUACCCAAGAUAGGAUCUGGACCGCCAAGAGACUAGCAAGCACGGAUAGCCUAAGUAUGAUCUUUGUCCCCUAUGAAACAAGUUCAGAAAUUCGGGCCGCACCUCUUCUACAAAUGCUGCUUCACCAUUCGUCUUUGGAACCUAGUGAAUGAUUGGUUACACUUACUUGACUUCAAUGCUUCGGCUUGGCACCUCGGAUCCAUCAAAGAUUGGUGGACCAAACGAUCCGACACCAACACACCCACUAGAGAGGCUAUGGCAUCUCUUACAAUGUUAAUGGAUUGGACCAUUUGGAAUGAGAGGACAUGGAUGCUUAUAUACCAUGGACAUAGAGUUUUGGCUAUGGCAUCUCUUACAAUGCCAACGACAAUCUUGCUCAAUAACAUUAAAUGUGAGGCCAACCUUUAGGUAUCCGUGAGCAAAAAAAAUUGGAACUAUUAUGCCGGGAGAGUGAUGCUUAUGUACCUUGGGUCUUGUAAUACAAACUCUAUCCUCUUCUUAAUUUUAUAUGACGCAAGUCAAGUCUUAUAUGUAGUGUCCAAAAUAACAAGGUUU